AUACGUAGGGCAGCAAGCGUUGUUCGGAGUUACUGGGCGUAAAGGGUGUGUAGGCGGUUCUUUAAGUUUGGUGUGAAAUCUCCCGGCUCAACUGGGAGGGUGCGCCGAAUACUGAGGGACUCGAGUGCGGGAGAGGAAAGUGGAAUUCCUGGUGUAGCGGUGAAAUGCGUAGAUAUCAGGAGGAACACCGGUGGUGUAAACGGCUUUCUGGACCGUAACUGACGCUGAGACACGAAAGCGUGGGUAGC
rnacentral:rRNA from 1 species